GGGGUCUCAAGGUCACCUAAGGGUCCCGAAAAAUCAGGAGAUCACCUGAGAUCCCCAGGAGGUCCCCUAGAGGUCACCUGAGGUCACCUGAGGUGCCCCAAGGUCACCUGGAAGACCCUGGAGAUCACCUGGAGAUCACCUGGAGGUCCCCUGAGAUGCCCAGGAGAUCACCUGAGGUGCCCCAAGGUCACCUGGAGGUCACCUGAGAUCCCCUGGAGGUCCCCAGAAGGUCCCCCUGAGGUC